rnacentral:rRNA from 1 species
GAGACCCACGCCAACAGUUGCCAGCACGUUCUCCGGAAUGGUGGGGACACUGUUGGGACCGCCUCUGCUAAAGAGGAGGAAGGAAUGGGCAACGGUAGGUCAGCAUGCCCCGAAUUACCCGGGCUACACGCGGGCUACAAUGGACAGGGCAAUGGGAAUCGACACCGAGAGGUGAAGGCAAUCCCCUAAACCUGCCCUUAGUUCGGAUUGUGGGCUGCAACUCGCCCACAUGAAGCUGGAAUCCGUAGUAAUCGCGGAUCAACAUUCCGCGGUGAAUAU